rnacentral:rRNA from 1 species
UAGGGAAUCUUGGACAAUGGGCGAAAGCCUGAUCCAGCCAUGCCGCGUGAGUGAAGAAGGCCUUAGGGUUGUAAAGCUCUUUCAACGGUGAAGAUGAUGACAGUAGCCGUAGAAGAAGCCCCGGCUAACUCCGUGCCAGCAGCCGCGGUAAUACGGAGGGGGCAAGCGUUGUUCGGAAUUACUGGGCGUAAAGGGCGCGUAGGCGGUCUGUUGCGUCAGGUGUGAAAGCCCUGGGCUCAACCUGGGAGGUGCACUUGAUACGGGCGGACUAGAAUCCGAGAGAGGGUGGUGGAAUUCCCAGUGUAGAGGUGAAAUUCGUAGAUAUUGGGAAGAACACCGAUGGCGAAGGCAGCCACCUGGCUCGGUAUUGACGCUGAGGCGCGAAAGCGUGGGGAGCAAACAGGAUUAGAUACCCUGGUAGUCCACGCCGUAAACGAUGUGUGCUAGCCGUUGGGCAGCUUGCUGUUCGGUGGCGCCGCUAACGCAUUAAGCACACCGCCUGGGGAGUACGGCCGCAAGGUUA